GACGGUAGGGUAUUGGCCUACCGUGGCUAUGACGGGUAACGGGGAAUUAGGGUUCGAUUCCGGAGAGGGAGCCUGAGAAACGGCUACCACAUCUAAGGAAGGCAGCAGGCGCGCAAAUUACCCAAUCCUAAUACAGGGAGGUAGUGACAAGAAAUAACAAUACAGAACCUCACGGUUUUGUAAUUGGAAUGAGUUAAGUAUAAACCCCUUAACGAGUAUCAAUUGGAGGGCAAGUCUGGUGCCAGCAGCCGCGGUAAUUCCAGCUCCAAUAGCGUAUAUUAAAGUUGUUGCAGUUAAAAAGCUCGUAGUUGAUUUUCUGUUAAUUUUUAUGUAUAAUAUUGCGAUAUUUACAUAAUAUUAACAUAAUUCACAUUACUUUACAGUAUGUGGAACUUUACUUUGAGAAAAUUAGAGUGCUUAAAGCAGGCUAUUGCCUUGAAUACUCCAGCAUGGAAUAAUAUUAAGGAUUUUUAUUCUUCUUAUUGGUUCUA
rnacentral:rRNA from 1 species